UAUUAAUAAAAUUGUUUUAUUUAAUUAAUUAUUUUAAUAGUUUUAAAUUAAAUAAAUAUGAGUUAUUGUAUAAUAAAUUGAUGAAAUUAUUUUUACUAUAGUAAAUUAGUAAUGUGAAUGAAAUUAAAUGAUUUAAUUUUAAAUUGGAAAAAGAUAAUUUUAUUAAUUGUAUCUUGUGUAUCAGAGUAAAUUAAAAUGAAUUAUAAAUUUUUUUAUCUCGAAUUUUAAAGAUUUAAUUGGGAAUAUUAAUUAUUGUUUUAUAAAUAUUAAAAAUUCUUAAUUGGUAAUGAUACGUUAAUCGUUUUUAAAGAUAUCUAGUUUUUUAAUAAAUGAAUUUAAUUCAGAAAACAUAAGUUAUUUUAUUUUUAAUAUUAAAAUAUUUUAUGUUUUUAAUUUUAAAGGGGAAUAGCUCUUUAAAAUGAUGUUAUAAUAAGAAUAAUUAUGGAGAAUUUUGUAAAUUUAGAAUUUGUUAUUAAUUAAAGAAUGUUAAAAUUUAAUUCUUAUUGUAAUUUAAUUUAAUUUUGUUAUUUAAGUUUUAUAUUAAAAUGUUAAGUUAAAUUUAAAAGUUUUGGAAAUUAUGGUUUAAUUAGUAAAUUUAUUUAUAAUAUAUUGUUAAUAUAAUUGAAAUGUUAAUAUAAAGAAUUAGGCAAAUAUUUUGCUCACCUGUUUAUUAAAAACAUGGUUUCUUGUAAUUUUAUUUAAGAAAUUUAACCUGCCCACUGAAUUAAUUUUGAAGGGCCGCAGUAUUUUGACUGUGCAAAGGUAGCAUAAUCAUUAGUCUUUUAAUUGAAGGCUGGUAUGAAUGGUUGGAUGAGGUAAAUUCUGUUUUAUAUUAAUUAUAAUUGAAUUUAGGUUUUGAGUAAAAAAACUUAAAUUUUAUUAAGGGACGAGAAGACCCUAUAGAGUUUAAUAAGUGUAGUAUUUAAUUGAGUUAAUAAGAAAUUUUUAAUUAAUAUAAAAUUUAUUUAAUUGGGGUGAUUAGAAGAUAAAGUGAACUCUUCUUUAAAUUUAAUAAUUUAAUUAAUUGUUUGAUCCAUUAUUAAUGAUUAGAAGAUUAAAUUACCUUAGGGAUAACAGCAUAAUUUUUUUUGAGAGUUCUUAUCGAGAAGAAAGAUUGUGACCUCGAUGUUGGAUUAGGAUUAAUUUUAGGUGUAGAUGUUUAAAAGAUUAGGUCUGUUCGACCUUUAAAAUCCUACAUGAUCUGAGUUUAAACCGGCGUGAGCCAGGUUGGUUUCUAUCUUUAAUUUUAUCAAAUAUUUUAGUACGAGAGGACCAAAUAUUUAAAAUAAUUUUUUUAAUUGAAUACUAUUAAUUA
rnacentral:rRNA from 1 species